UACGAAGGGGGCAAGCGUUGUUCGGAAUUACUGGGCGUAAAGGGCGCGUAGGCGGCUUAUCAAGUCAGGCGUGAAAUUCCCCGGGCUCAACCUGGGGGCUGCGCUUGAUACUGAUUGGCUUGAAUGCGGGAGAGGAUAGUGGAAUUCCCAGUGUAGAGGUGAAAUUCGUAGAUAUUGGGAAGAACACCGGUGGCGAAGGCGGCCAACUGGACGAAUACUGACGCUGAGACUCGAAAGCGUGGGGAGCAAACAGG
rnacentral:rRNA from 1 species